CUCAAACUCAUGUGUAAACCCGUAGAGUUUGACAUUGGCAACACAUGUCUUGCUGUAUCGAUCUGAAUAUUCAUUUCUCCUACGGCAUGUGAGUGGUUCAUAUGCUGAGUUUGUGUUGCAUGCCACACUUGCCGCUGUCUAAGCAUCCUGUGCCGAAUGUCAUAAAUCAUAAAAGCAGACAAAAUAUUCGCCAGGCAUAAGAUAUGUCGCCGCACUAAGGACAAGCAGCCGAGCAACUCGAAUUCGAGAGGCAGGCAGAGCCCUGAGGCUGUGUGGCAGAGUCUUGCGAAAAUGCACGUGGAGUGCGUAGUUUUGCAUAUGCAACGGACGCAGGACGAACGCAUCAUAAAACAACAAGGACAACACACAGCGGCGCAUAGUUAUGAUUUAUGAUGAUGCAAACGGAACACAACACAACUCAAGUCGCAAGUCUCAAGUCGUGUAACAGCAGGACGAAGUGAGCUUAGGAUACUUGAGAGGCUGAUGCCUAGCAUGCGGUCGAUGAGUUGCCCUUUGACAGGGAAGACAUUCACCAUAACAAAUUAGCGAAGAAGAAAAGAGAGAGAGA